CUUGCUCCCGGAUGUUAGCGGCGGACGGGUGAGUAACACGUGGGUAACCUGCCUGUAAGACUGGGAUAACUCCGGGAAACCGGAGCUAAUACCGGAUAGUUCCUUGAACCGCAUGGUUCAAGGAUGAAAGACGGUUUCGGCUGUCACUUACAGAUGGACCCGCGGCGCAUUAGCUAGUUGGUGGGGUAAUGGCUCACCAAGGCGACGAUGCGUAGCCGACCUGAGAGGGUGAUCGGCCACACUGGGACUGAGACACGGCCCAGACUCCUACGGGAGGCAGCAGUAGGGAAUCUUCCGCAAUGGACGAAAGUCUGACGGAGCAACGCCGCGUGAGUGAUGAAGGUUUUCGGAUCGUAAAGCUCUGUUGUUAGGGAAGAACAAGUGCGAGAGUAACUGCUCGCACCUUGACGGUACCUAACCAGAAAGCCACGGCUAACUACGUGCCAGCAGCCGCGGUAAUACGUAGGUGGCAAGCGUUGUCCGGAAUUAUUGGGCGUAAAGGGCUCGCAGGCGGUUUCUUAAGUCUGAUGUGAAAGCCCCCGGCUCAACCGGGGAGGGUCAUUGGAAACUGGGAAACUUGAGUGCAGAAGAGGAGAGUGGAAUUCCACGUGUAGCGGUGAAAUGCGUAGAGAUGUGGAGG
rnacentral:rRNA from 1 species